CAUACAUUGCUCUUGUUUUCGUUGUGCAGGGCCCAGAGUGCUGCCGAUAUGGGGGAACAACUUCUAAUGUCAUAGAAGGUUCUGGAUGGUGCGAUAGAUGGCUGCUGCCAAAAAAGGUACAAAGCCAAAAGUGGCUGGCGUCCGCUUUGCUACCGGAUUACCAGAGGAGGGCGCUCACAAUCAUGUCCACUUU